GUAAUAUAUCGGAACGUGCCCAGUCGUGGGGGAUAACGUAGCGAAAGUUACGCUAAUACCGCAUACGAUCUAUGGAUGAAAGCGGGGGACCGUAAGGCCUCGCGCGAUUGGAGCGGCCGAUAUCAGAUUAGGUAGUUGGUGGGGUAAAGGCUCACCAAGCCAACGAUCUGUAGCUGGUCUGAGAGGACGACCAGCCACACUGGAACUGAGACACGGUCCAGACUCCUACGGGAGGCAGCAGUGGGGAAUUUUGGACAAUGGACGCAAGUCUGAUCCAGCCAUUCCGCGUGCAGGAUGAAGGCCCUCGGGUUGUAAACUGCUUUUGUACGGAACGAAAAGGUCUCUAUUAAUACUGGGGGCUCAUGACGGUACCGUAAGAAUAAGCACCGGCUAACUACGUGCCAGCAGCCGCGGUAAUACGUAGGGUGCAAGCGUUAAUCGGAAUUACUGGGCGUAAAGCGUGCGCAGGCGGUUAUGUAAGACAGAGGUGAAAUCCCCGGGCUCAACCUGGGAACUGCCUUUGUGACUGCAUAGCUAGAGUACGGUAGAGGGGGAUGGAAUUCCGCGUGUAGCAGUGAAAUGCGUAGAUAUGCGGAGGAACACCGAUGGCGAAGGCAAUCCCCUGGACCUGUACUGACGCUCAUGCA
rnacentral:rRNA from 1 species